rnacentral:rRNA from 1 species
UACGUAGGGUCCGAGCGUUGUCCGGAAUUAUUGGGCGUAAAGGGCUCGUAGGCGGUUUGUCACGUCGGGAGUGAAAACUCAGGGCUCAACCCUGAGCGUGCUUCCGAUACGGGCAGACUAGAGGUAUGCAGGGGAGAACGGAAUUCCUGGUGUAGCGGUGGAAUGCGCAGAUAUCAGGAGGAACACCGGUGGCGAAGGCGGUUCUCUGGGCAUUACCUGACGCUGAGACGCGAAAGCGUGGGGAGCAAACAGG